CCUUCAUUCAAUGUGGCUCCGUUGUUUCAUCGCCCCAAUGCGUUCAAAGGAUCACAGAUGUUUUAGACUGAAAAGCCCUAUACAGAUUAACUAUGCAAUGCAUGCUUCCAGCAGGAUGCACAUCCAAAUGGUUUGCAUGCUCUGCGAAAGGAGCCCAGUGACAAAGUGCACAGUUGGGUGCCAGACUGAUCCCCUGGUCAUGAACGGAUGCCGGGACCUACCAGAAGGAGAAAAGUUGUUUGUGAGAUGUCCAGUUUGCUGCCAAACAUGCAGCAUAGAGAAGACCAGAAAGGGGGCCCUCAUCACCAUCAUGAAGACAUGUCCUCACGGUAAGCAUUCCUAUGAAUGGAACAGUCAGCCACAUUUUGGCAAGUAUGCGGCCAGCAACCUUCACCUGUCAGCGGAAACAGCUUUUACAGGCUCAUCAUUUGUACAAAUACAGAAGAUUCAUGAAAUGCAGAGAGACCAAGCACUCAACACAUCCACAAUGAGGAGUUUACUAAUAAUACAGUACAGCACAAAUGUCCAAUAUUAGCAACACCCUUUUUUGUGUCAAUGAUGAUGGGGAGACCAUAAUUGGGUAUUUUUUUUUCUAACCUGUUAAAACUUCAAUAAAGUAUAUGUUUUAGGGUUGUCACAAUACCAGUAUCGUGAUACUCAAGAGGUAUUGUGGCAAGGAAACAAAACAGUUCAGCAGACUACAUUUCCUGAGUAAAACAGUCCUAAUGUUGGAAACAAGCAGCCUUACAUUGUAGCACACAAUAUUUUAAAUCCGGUAUUCCCAAACUGGGGGGUACAUGUACCCACAGGUUAUAGGCCUCUGUACACCUAUGUAGAUAAAAAAAAUCUGCCGUUUCCAGCUACAAUAGUCAUUUACAACAUUAAC